rnacentral:rRNA from 1 species
GAUGAACGCUAGCGGCAGGCUUAACACAUGCAAGUCGAGGGGCAACACGGGUAGCAAUACCUGGUGGCGACCGGCGCAAGGGUGCGUAACGCGUGAGCAACAUACCCUAUACAGGGGGAUAAUCCAGGGAAACUUGGUCUAAUAUCCCAUAGGAUUUACAGAUGUCAUCAUCUAUAAAUUAAAGCUUCGGUGGUAUAGGAUUGGCUCGCGUGACAUUAGCUAGAUGGUGGGGUAACGGCCUACCAUGGCCAUGAUGUCUAGGGGUUCUGAGAGGAAGACCCCCCACACUGGGACUGAGACACGGCCCAGACUCCUACGGGAGGCAGCAGUGAGGAAUAUUGGACAAUGGAUGGAAAUCUGAUCCAGCCAUGCCGCGUGCAGGAAGACGGCCCUAUGGGUUGUAAACUGCUUUUUAUAUUGGGAAGCAAAUAAGGUCUACGCGUAGACCGAUGAGAGUACCGAUAAUGAAAUAAGUACAAUCGGCUAACUCCG